rnacentral:rRNA from 1 species
AACGAACGCUGGCGGCAUGCCUAACACAUGCAAAUCGAACGAGACCUUCGGGUCUAGUGGCGCACGGGUGCGUAACGCGUGGGAACCUGCCCUUAGGUUCGGAAUAACUCCCCGAAAGGGGUGCUAAUACCGGAUAAUGUCUUCGGACCAAAGAUUUAUCGCCUUUGGAUGGGCCCGCGUUGGAUUAGCUAGUUGGUAGGGUAAAAGCCUACCAAGGCGACGAUCCAUAGCUGGUCUGAGAGGAUGAUCAGCCACACUGGGACUGAGACACGGCCCAGACUCCUACGGGAGGCAGCAGUGGGGAAUAUUGGACAAUGGGCGAAAGCCUGAUCCAGCAAUGCCGCGUGAGUGAUGAAGGCCUUAGGGUUGUAAAGCUCUUUUACCCGGGAUGAUAAUGGCAGUACCGGGAGAAUAAGCUCCGGCUAACUCCGUG